CGUAGGCGGUAAGUUAAGUUAGCUGUGAAAUCCAUGGGCUCAACCUGUGGAAUGUCAGCUGAUACUGACGAACUAGAGUACAGGAGAGGGAAGUGGAAUUUCCGGUGUAGCAGUGAAAUGCGUAGAUAUCGGAAGGAACACCAGUGGCGAAGGCGACUUUCUGGCCUGAAACUGACGCUGAGGCGCGAAAGCAUGGGUAGCGAACA
rnacentral:rRNA from 1 species